GACGGCUCAACGAUGCGACUGGAUGUUGGGUGCACUUGGCACCCAGUAUCGAAGCUAACGCGUUAAGUUCGCCGCCUGGGGAGUACGGUCGCAAGACUGAAACUCAAAGGAAUUGACGGGGGCCCGCACAAGCGGUGGAGUAUGUGGUUUAAUUCGAUGCAACGCGAAGAACCUUACCUGGUCUUGACAUCCACGGAACUUUCCAGAGAUGGAUUGGUGCCUUCGGGAACCGUGAGACAGGUGCUGCAUGGCUGUCGUCAGCUCGUGUCGUGAGAUGUUGGGUUAAGUCCCGCAACGAGCGCAACCCUUGUCCUUAGUUGCCAGCACGUAAUGGUGGGAACUCUAAGGAGACCGCCGGUGACAAACCGGAGGAAGGUGGGGGAUGACGUA
rnacentral:rRNA from 1 species